rnacentral:lncRNA from 1 species
UAAACUAAAGUACAAAAACAGCUAAGAAUUUUAUUUCAAAAACCAACUUCGUAUCCAUUUAUAUACAUCCAAAAGCUCGUCCAGCAUUGCUUUUAUUUAGCACAAACAGAUUUACACAUCCUUUACAUAGUUACACAGAUUUUAGCAUAGAUCCAUCCAUAGCCAUGCAUGCAUGGACUUAUCAUCAAACAUGAAUAAAUGACAGAAGAACCAAGUAGAGUAGUGACCAUCAGCCUGAGACCAGCAGCGAGAAGCAGUAGAGACAUCUAGCUAGAGAGACUAGAAUAGAGAGAGCCUGAGACCCAGGUAGACUAAAGAUUUCAUUCGCAGGUGACCUUGCCGGUUGCAUGGACGCAUAGGCUGCUCAAGUCUCCACGAACUUGGUGGAGGCAUGGAACUUGGCGAUGAACGCCGACGCCUUCAUGUCGACGUCGCGCUCGCCGACGUACCACAGCCCGUCCUCGUCGCUCGGCCGCACCUUCCUCGACGACCGCCGCAGCUGCUCGUACCCCGGCUCGUCGGCGUCGUACCCUCCUGAUGACCCGAAGCAGGAAAAGCUGGCUCCCAUGUCGGCGAUCUCUUGGAGUAGCUUCUUCUCCUUCUUCUUCUUCUUCUUUCCUCUCGCUAAGCUUCUUGGAGCACGGACAGUUGUCAGGCACUAGCAGUGAGCUCACUAGGAAGCUGCCGCUGCUUGCUU